UACAGAGGGUGCGAACGUUGCUCGGAUUUACUGGGCGUAAAGCGUGUGUAGGCGGGUUCGCAAGUCGGUUGUGAAAUCCCUGGGCUCAACCCAGGAACUGCAUCCGAAACUGCGUGCCUUGAGGAGUAGAGAGGGUGGCGGAAUUCCCGGUGUAGAGGUGAAAUUCGUAGAUAUCGGGAGGAACAUCAGCGGCGAAGGCGGCCGCCUGGAUACUUACUGACGCUGAGACACGAAAGCGUGGGGAGCAAACAGG
rnacentral:rRNA from 1 species